GGCUGACCGGACCGGACCGGACCUGGCCUGAGGCCGGAGUUGUGGCCACCGUGACCACCGGCCGGCAGCCGUUCUCCUUAAGCGAGGCGGCGUACGUUAGUGGAAGGGUGUCCGACCCAGUCGUAGCUGUACCCAGCUCUUUCACCCGCCCGGCUGGGCCCAGCUGCCGCUGAGUCACGGGGCAGGGCCGGUUCCGGCCUGGCUUAGGGCGGGAGAGGCGGGUGUUCGCCCGGUGCUGCGCCUGACUGGCCUGUAAAGCUUUGGCUUGUGUGCUGGCUCGCUCCUGGCCUUUCCCACAUGCCCUGCCCUUCCCUUAAUGCCCCUGCGUGGAGCUAAGUCGACGGUGAAGUUCCCGGAGAGAAGGUAACGGGCUCAGCUGUAGUUAGAGGUUGGAAACAGCGAUUCCCAAACGUCUCUGUGUACAGCAGCUCUGUGCUGCCUUAAAACACCGACCUGGAAAAGUUGAGAGUAACAGAUCUUGUGUAUUAAGGAAAAUGGACUCAGUACUUGGAUCUGGAGUUGAGAGAAAACAAUGUGAACACAACCUUUCCAUCCUCAUCUUAGGGAUCAAAACUAGAGUUGGUGAGAUAUUUAGAGCAAAUCAAUUUUGCACCGUGGGCACUUGGGUGGAAGAAUUUGCUAUAACAAGUACCUCCCUUGGCAGCUCCUGCACAAUAACAUACACAUUCACCAUUCUAGAAUAAGGGGAACCAUCAUGAGAUGAUUACUUGCUGAAGUCUGUCCGACAGCCUGAAUCCUCAGCCCCAAGGUGCCUUCCAGAGGACAUCCAAGUUCUUCCAUUCAGCCAGAAAUUCUCAUAUGGCCCAUAGAGUUUAUACAGUCUCUCAACAUGUGCACUGAUGGCACAUCUCGUUUUCAUGACACUAAAACUGUGGGCAUUAUGUGGCUAUCAGCCAUGACUUGUUGCAGUGUUAAAACUCUAAAUUCUUUGAAAUCUUAGAUACAGUUCUGACCAUACAAAGUAUAAGUUUGCAAAGCCUAUUCAAAAUGUACUUGCAGUGCUGUGAGACUCUAUAGACAUAGCCAGAAGAGAUACAUAAUGUAGUAUGUAGAUUAUUU